GGAUGCCCUCCUGGCCCACCAGGAUUACCAGGCAUCCCAGGUUUCAAAGGUGAUAAAGGUCUCCGAGGACCACCAGGGAGAGACGGCCAGGAUGGGAAAAUGGGGAAUGCUGGUCCCAGAGGUCCUGCAGGCCCACCUGGGCUUGAUGGCCCAAAGGGUGCUAAAGGAGAUCGUGGUAUGACUGGGGAUACAGGAGAAAAAGGUGAACAGGGUCACCCUGGAAUGCCUGGCUUCUCAGGGGCUCCUGGAAACCCUGGUCCACCUGUAAGUUUCUCUGGGACAAAGUUUUGGCAACCUGGCGUAGUGUGAGACAUCCCUGCCUAUGGCAGGGGGUUGGAACUGGAUGAUCUUAAGGUCC
rnacentral:lncRNA from 14 species